rnacentral:rRNA from 1 species
AGCCGCGGUAAUUCCAGCUCCAAUAGCGUAUACUAAAGUUGUUGCGGUUAAAAAGCUCGUAGUUGGAUCUUGGAAUGUGUUCAAGCGGGUCAGCUUCUGGCUGUGCGCUGCUUGACGUGUUCUUCUAUUUGGUUUUGGUGCGGUGCGCUUAACUGCGUGUCGCUCCCGGCCGAAACGUUUACCUUGAAAAAAUUAGAGUGUUCAAAGCAGACCUGUUUGAGUCUGAAUAUUCGUGCAUGGAAUAAUGAAAUAUGAAUUCGGUUCUAUUUUGUUGGUUUUCGGAACUCGAGUUAAUGAUCAAGAGGGACAGACGGGGGCAUUCGUACUCUGCCGUUAGAGGUGAAAUUCUUGGAUCGGCGGAAGACGCGCAACUGCGAAAGCAUUUGCCAAGAAUGUUUUCUUUAAUCAAGAACGAUAGUCGGAGAUUCGAAGACGAUCAGAUACCGUCCUAGUUUCGACUGUAAACUAUGCCAGCUAACGAUCAGACAGAGUUCUCUACGGCUUGUCUGGCAGUUUCCGGGAAACCAAAGCGUUUGGGUUCCGGGGGAAGUAUGGUUGCAAAGCUGAAACUUAAAGGAAUUGACGGAAGGGCACCACCAGGAGUGGAGCCUGCGGCUUAAUUUGACUCAACACGGGGAAACUCACCCGGCCCGGACACAGUGAGGAUUGACAGAUUGAGAGUUCUUUCUUGAUUCUGUGGGUGGUGGUGCAUGGCCGUUCUUAGUUGGUGGAGCGAUUUGUCUGGUUAAUUCCGAUAACGAACGAGACUCUGGCAUGUUAAAUAGUCGCGGAAGUGCGUAUGCACUUGCCGAAUUGACUUCUUAGAGGGACUAGUGAUUUUAAUUCACACGAGAUUGAGCAAUAACAGGUCUGUGAUG